rnacentral:rRNA from 1 species
GCUAAUACCGCAUAAGCCCACGGUGCCGCAUGGCACAGAGGGAAAAGGAGCAAUCCGCUUUGAGAUGGCCUCGCGUCCGAUUAGCUAGUUGGUGAGGUAAUGGCCCACCAAGGCGACGAUCGGUAGCCGGACUGAGAGGUUGAACGGCCACAUUGGGACUGAGACACGGCCCAGACUCCUACGGGAGGCAGCAGUGGGGAAUAUUGCACAAUGGGGGAAACCCUGAUGCAGCGACGCCGCGUGGAGGAAGAAGGUCUUCGGAUUGUAAACUCCUGUUGUUGAGGAAGAUAAUGACGGUACUCAACAAGGAAGUGACGGCUAACUACGUGCCAGCAGCCGCGGUAAAACGUAGGUCACAAGCGUUGUCCGGAAUUACUGGGUGUAAAGGGAGCGCAGGCGGGAAGACAAGUUGGAAGUGAAAUCUAUGGGCUCAACCCAUAAACUGCUUUCAAAACUGUUUUUCUUGAGUAGUGCAGAGGUAGGCGGAAUUCCCGGUGUAGCGGUGGAAUGCGUAGAUAUCGGGAGGAACACCAGUGGCGAAGGCGGCCUACUGGGCACCAACUGACGCUGAGGCUCGAAAGUGUGGGUAGCAAACAGGAUUAGAUACCCUGGUAGUCCACACCGUAAACGAUGAUUACUAGGUGUUGGAGGAUUGACCCCUUCAGUGCCGCAGUUAACACAAUAAGUAAUCCACCUGGGGAGUACGACCGCAAGGUUGAAACUCAAAGGAAUUGACGGGGGCCCGCACAAGCAGUGGAGUAUGUGGUUUAAUUCGACGCAACGCGAAGAACCUUACCAAGUCUUGACAUCCUGCGACGGACAUAGAGAUAUGUCUUUCCUUCGGGACGCAGAGACAGGUGGUGCAUGGUUGUCGUCAGCUCGUGUCGUGAGAUGUUGGGUUAAGUCCCGCAACGAGCGCAACCCUUAUGGUCAGUUACUACGCAAGAGGACUCUGGCCAGACUGCCGUUGACAAAACGGAGGAAGGUGGGGAUAACGUCAAAUCAUCAUGCCCUUUAUGACUUGGGCUACACACGUACUACAAUGGCGUUAAACAAAGAGAAGCAAGACCGCGAGGUGGAGCAAAACUCAGAAACAACGUCCCAGUUCGGACUGCAGGCUGCAACUCGCCUGCACGAAGUCGGAAUUGCUAGUAAUCGCAGAUCAGCAUGCUGCGGUGAAUACGUUCCCGGGCCUUGUACACACCGCCCGUCACACCAUGAGAGCCGGGGGGACCCGAAGUCGGUAGUCUAACCGCAAGGAGGACGCCGCCGAAGGUAAAACUGGUGAUUGGGGUGAAGUCGUAACAAGGUA